UUUGCUUCAAGAAAAUGAUGGGCUUCUGGUUGUCACUAAUCAUUCAAUCAAGCUUCAAAAUAAGGAAAGCCCUAAGUUUACAUAUAAUUUUUUUUUUUAGCAAUUAUACCAAAUAUACAAGCCUCAAGUAACCAACAACAUCCAAAAUAUGAUAAAUCCUUUAAAACCUUGUAUAUUCUUAUGUAAAAAAUUGUCAAAACUUCAACAAUUCAUAUCUCCUAAUCCGACCGUCCAAACAAACUCAAAUUUUACUUGAGAUACUGAUAUAUUCUUAUUAAUUUUUUUAACAAAU
rnacentral:lncRNA from 1 species